rnacentral:rRNA from 1 species
CUACGGGACGCUGCAGUGGGGAAUAUUGGACAAUGGGGGAAACCCUGAUCCAGCAAUGCCGCGUGUGUGAAGAAGGCCUGCGGGUUGUAAAGCAAUUUCGGUUGGGAGGACUGCUUCUAGCACUAAUAUUGUUGGAAGUUGACGUUACCUUCAGAAGAAGCACCGGCUAACUCCGUGCCAGCAGCCGCGGUAAUACGGAGGGUGCAGCGUUAAUCGGAAUUACUGGGCGUAAAGCGCGCGUAGGCGGCUAGAUCAGUCGGGUGUGAAAGCCCCGGGCUUAACCUGGGAACUGCAUCCGAUACUGUCUAGCUUGAGUACAGGAGAGGAGAGUGGAAUUCCACAUGUAGCGGUGAAAUGCGUAGAUAUGUGGAGGAACACCAAUGGCGAAGGCAGCUCUCUGGCCUGAUACUGACGCUGAGGUGCGAAAGCGUGGGGAGCAAACAGGAUUAGAUACCCCGGUAGUC